rnacentral:rRNA from 1 species
UGGCGGACGGGUGAGUAACGCGUGGGUAACCUGCCUCAUACAGGGGGAUAACAGUUAGAAAUGGCUGCUAAUACCGCAUAAGACCACGGUACUGCAUGGUACAGUGGUAAAAACUCCGGUGGUAUGAGAUGGACCCGCGUCUGAUUAGGUAGUUGGUGAGGUAACGGCCCACCAAGCCGACGAUCAGUAGCCGACCUGAGAGGGUGACCGGCCACAUUGGGACUGAGACACGGUCCAG